rnacentral:rRNA from 1 species
GACGAACGCUGGCGGCGUGCUUAACACAUGCAAGUCGAACGAUGAAGCCUAGCUUGCUAGGUGGAUUAGUGGCGAACGGGUGAGUAAUACGUGAGUGACCUACCUUUGACUCUGGGAUAAGCCUGGGAAACUGGGUCUAAUACCGGAUACGACCAAUCUCCGCAUGGGGUGUUGGUGGAAAGCGUUAUGGAGUGGUUUUAGAUGGGCUCACGGCCUAUCAGCUUGUUGGUGAGGUAAUGGCUUACCAAGGCGACGACGGGUAGCCGGCCUGGGAGGGUGACCGGCCACACUGGGACUGAGACACGGCCCAGACUCCUACGGGAGGCAGCAGUGGGGAAUAUUGCACAAUGGGCGCAAGCCUGAUGCAGCGACGCCGCGUGAGGGAUGACGGCCUUCGGGUUGUAAACCUCUGUUAGCAUCGAAGAAGCGAAAGUGACGGUAGGUGCAGAGAAAGCGCCGGCUAACUACGUG